ACGUAGGCAGCAAGCGUUGUUCGGAAUUACUGGGCGUAAAGCGCGUGUAGGCGGCUCUUCAAGUCAGGCGUGAAAGCCCUGAGCUCAACUCAGGAACUGCGCUUGAUACUGUCGAGCUAGAGUGCAGAAGGGGCAACUGGAAUUCUCGGUGUAGCGGUGAAAUGCGUAGAUAUCGAGAGGAACACCUGCGGCGAAGGCGGGUUGCUGGGCUGACACUGACGCUGAGGCGCGAAAGCUAGGGGAGCGAACGGGA
rnacentral:rRNA from 1 species